GAUGAAGAACGCAGCGAAAUGCGAUAAGUAGUGUGAAUUGCAGAAUUCGGUGAAUCAUCGAAUCUUUGAACGCACAUUGCGCCCCUUGGUAUUCCAUGGGGCAUGCCUGUUCGAGCGUCAUUUGUACCCUCAAGCUUUGCUUGGUGUUGGGCGUCUUGUCGUAUUACGACUCGCCUUAAAUACAUUGGCAGCCGGCACUUUGGCCUAGGAGCGCAGCACAUUUUGCGAUCGUAGCCCGUUGUACUGGCGUCCAUCAAGAACAUUUACCACGUUUGACCUCGGAUCAGGUAGGGAUACCCGCUGAACUUAAGCAUAUCAAUAAGCGGAGGA
rnacentral:misc_RNA from 1 species